rnacentral:rRNA from 1 species
UACGUAGGCAGCGAGCGUUGUUCGGAGUUACUGGGCGUAAAGGGUGUGUAGGCGGUUGUUUAAGUUUGGUGUGAAAUCUCCCGGCUCAACUGGGAGGGUGCGCCGAAUACUGAAUGACUUGGAGUGCGGGAGAGGAAAGUGGAAUUCCUGGUGUAGCGGUGAAAUGCGUAGAUAUCUGGAGGAACACCGGUGGCGAAGGCGACAUCCUGGACCGGUAUUGACGCUGAGGCGCGAAAGCCAGGGGAGCAAACGGG